CUUGCGUUACACAUCCAGCGAAAGAAAUGGACAGAAAUAAAUCAUGUUAUGUAUUUUUUUUGCAUCCAACGUUGUUGGAAAGUAUUGCGCACGUUACCCAGAAAAUGUUUAUUAGCCUACCUGUGAAAUGAGUUGUAUUUUGCAUAAGUGUUUGUGUCAUAGACAGGCUGUUGGUGGCACCAUGACCGGGCGUCUGCGCUUGAAGCGCCAGUGUCCCCCCCAGGCCGACACAUGGGACAUGCCUUCAUUGAGGUCUGUAAAGGGAGGAUGAUGAUAUUGCUGAUGAAGAAUCACGUCCUCCGGUUCUCCCCCAUAUAAACCAGAGGAAUGUCACAGAACUGAAGAAAGAAGCUGCGUUUCUCCAGAACGCCUCGCAGCUCCAGCUGCCAAAGAGCUACGAAACACAGGUAAGAGCGGCUCAAGUGACGGCCUCGGGUUACAGCUCAACGGCUCCGGUGCUGGCAGAGGGGUCUGGUUACAAACAUUCACAAAGAGCUGGGAAUGUCACUCCUGAAUUCUUGUUCUGAUUGGGUUCGUGAUACGAGCUUUAUGACACAUUUAUAUUGUUCUGAGUCAAUCUUUACAGUUACAGUAAACUGGCGUGGGAUUCUGAGCACUGCAGCAGUCUGGAUUAUUGAAGCGUCAGGGCUGUGAGGCAGCGCUGAGGUAACACCUGAGACGAGGACAUGCUCAGAGGCCAGAGGCCAAACGGAGCAGGGUUUCUAAUAACAGGCAAGGUCACCCACAGCGUUACUGGAGAGCUUAUCAGCACUGUAGAUAUUUGAGAAACGCUGGAGGAGGAGCUCUGCCCCACCGGACAGGGAUGGAAUGAAAAAAGCAGCAAGAAAUCUUAAGUGCCACUUGAUAUGAGAUGCUUUGGACAUGUACAGCGUGUCAGAGAGAGAAGUACAAUGGCAUCUGUGAUUAUGACAUGGCUGACUGGAAUGUCUGAUUCUGACUGUCAGUCACAGCAAUCACACAGAUGUUUCUGUUUAAUGACUGCUGAAAACUGGAUUUGACCAUUGAACCAUGCAUUUCCAGGCAGUGUUGUUGUAAAAAUAAGUUACACUAUUAAAACUUAUUUCUGUUAAUUGAAAAAAGGCUGAAGUAAAUUACAAUUAAAAUAUAAAUAUAUUAUGGCAAAA